CGAACGCUGGCGGCGUGCUUAACACAUGCAAGUCGAGCGAUGAAAUUCUCUUCGGAGAAUAGAUUAGCGGCGGACGGUGAGUAACACGUGGGUAACCUGCCUUAUAGGUGGGGAUACGCCUUCCGAAAGGACUGCUAAUACCGAAUGUUGUAUCUCCACCGCAUGGAAGAGAUAUUAAAGAUGGCCUCUACUUGUAAGCUAUCGCUUUGCGAUGGGUCUGCGUCUGAUUAGCUAGUUGGUGGGGCAACGGCCUACCAAGGCGACGAUCAGUAGCCGGUCUGAGAGGAUGAACGGCCACAUUGGAACUGAGACACGGUCCAGACUCCUACGGGAGGCAGCAGUGGGGAAUCUUCCGCAAUGGGCGAAAGCCUGACGGAGCAACGCCGCGUGAGUGAAGAAGGUCUUCGGAUCGUAAAGCUCUGUUGUCGGGGACGAAUGUUGAGACCUAGAACAUAGGUUUCAAAUGACGGUACCUGACGAGGAAGCCACGGCUAACUACGUG
rnacentral:rRNA from 1 species